GUACACCUGAUUCCAAAAGGAUUUGUUAAUGUCUCCAGCCAUCAGCUGGCAAACCAGGAAUCUUUCUUCCUCCCCCCUCCCCCAAUGCUUUGAGGAAACCAAUAGAUCCUUCACUUUCUUCAUUCGUGGAGCUUCUAGAAAAGAACAUCCCUGGACACAGCAGUCCCAUAUCCACAGGGAGGAAGCAGCAAAUUUCAAACUUGCCUGCAGUAACCAUAUUGAAGCGCUGCAAACCUGGUGGCAUUGUGUCUUUUGUUGGGCACAAAAACACUGGAUGCACAAGAAGCCAGGUUCUAAGCCUGGAGGAGGAUCGAUUGCAGGCAGCCUCACACAGGGAAAAUUAAUUCCCUCCAGAGCAUGGCUGAGAGCUUGGAGUGGAAGACAGCCGUUUCUCUGUUUGGGAAAAUGCCAGGGAAGGUUCCCAGGAUUCGCAGUGUUAGAGGCAGGAUUGUGUUCUACACUGGAAAGGGGUGGUAGGUGCCAGUGGAUUGAACCAGCACUCUGGAAAGCUUUGCUCUCCUUGGGCUGAUUUGAAAGUAAGGCUGCUUUACAGAAAUCUUACGGGAGGAAAGAAAGUUUCUAUCAACCACUGACAAAAGUCUCAAGUUCAUCAGCCUGAAGAAGGCCAGAUAUGGACAAGCAGGAGCAUAUUGUUACUAGGCAAAAUUGUCACUAGAGGCAUAGUCAGCCUGCCACAGCAGUUCAAAAUGGCAACCCAGAACUUUGCGCAGGAGAGCAAAGAACCAGGUGCAGGGAUUUUGCAGAUGACGCCCUGCUUGGACAAGCAGAAAGAGGCAGCAUUUGGCUACCAGCUGUCUUCUGCUGGUUGCCACAAGAUUGGAUGGCAUGCCCCCCCACCCCCCCAGUUUCCACUCUUGGAAGGGUGGGUGGCUGGAAGGCAGUUGAGAAGGGAUGGAUGCUGGCCCUUUCGGUGCUCGGAGGCUUGUGUAAUGACAGCCAGUAUGUGAGAACAAGGUGUGAGAAUCAGCAAUUUCUCUGUAUCCUUCCCUUGCAGCCAGAUCUGGUCCUAAGUGGUGCUUUUUGUCACUGUUUUGUGCCCAUGCUGUAACGGUCGGUGGCUGUGAAAGCCAAGCUGGUGGCUGAGAAAGUAGCAGGAGUUCAGGUCAAAGGUGCUGAAGAUGGACCAAGAGGACAGAAGGCGCAGGGGGUGGGGAAGGGAAUCUUGAAGGAAAAGCAUCUUUGCCUCUCCCCUUCUUCCUUCACCUGCCCCAACAUCAGGUGUGAUUUCCUGAAUGAGUUUCUGCACAGCUCAUCUACAGUUCAGUUUCUUCCAAAAAGGAGGAAUGUCGUUGGAAGGAAGAAAGCAGACCAUGCCGGGACUUACCAGCCUUUUUUCCCGAAAAUCAAUGCCUACAGUUGUGAUGAAUUUGGAAUUGAAUUUCCCAUCUGUGUACUGGUAAAGGAAACUGGUCUUUCCAACCCCAGAAUCACCAAGGGCUAGGAACUUGAUAAGGUAAUCGUAGUCCCUGUCAGACAUAGCGAGUGAUCUUCAGUAACAGCCUGAAGGGGAGGAUGGGAAGAAAGGAAGAAAAGUUUUGAAUCCAGGGUCUCAGAGGAGCCUACCAAGUGUGUGGGGCCCAAUAAGAGGCUCAAAAGGACACGGUACCGGAACGCUGCUCCACAUCUUGUCCACAGGUAGCACAACUAUGUUGGCAGGUGACUGGUGCACUAUAGGUAUCAAAAGAUCAAAAGCCUCUUUGGAACUUUGCCAUUUGGGCUAUGGAUGAUGUGGUAUGGAACUGCAUGGAGGUGAUGGCAACAGAAAGGGCUGAGAAGCCGCCUAAAUGGAAGUGGAAGGUCAAAGUUUCUCUGGGACCCAGCACUCAUUCCAGGAGAUUCUGCUGCAGGUGGUAUCCAGCCCUCCCUGGUAAUCAGAUAAUACUAGAGAGAUGCUCGCCUUCGGAGUUCCUCUCAGUGGAAAAAGGGAGUCAUGUACUUUCAGCAGACUCCCACUGCUGCCUCCUCGGAGGUUAGCCCCAGAUGCCCGUCAGUUGCCUUCAGGCUGCCUAUAAGAGUCUAUAAACGCUUCCACAUUUGUCCCUAAGCAUGAACACACUCUAACAAUCUUUCUUCCUUCUCCAUGACAAGAACAGUGACAAAUCAUUUGGAUUUGGUCAGGAUACCUAAGGGACAUUUUCCCUUGGCCUGCUGCCUCCUGGAGCCCCAUGGCUGCCUGCAGUUAGAUUUUACCUACCAAUCUGCUUGUAUGUUUUCAUUACUGAGAAAAAAAUUGUUUUAUCCCUUCCA